GACGAACGCUGGCGGCGUGCCUAAUACAUGCAAGUAGAACGCUGAAGGAGGAGCUUGCUUCUCCGGAUGAGUUGCGAACGGGUGAGUAACGCGUAGGUAACCUGCCUGGUAGCGGGGGAUAACUAUUGGAAACGAUAGCUAAUACCGCAUAAGAGUAGAUGUCGCAUGACAUUUGCUUAAAAGGUGCAACUGCACCACUACCAGAUGGACCUGCGUUGUAUUAGCUAGUUGGUGAGGUAACGGCUCACCAAGGCAACGAUACAUAGCCGACCUGAGAGGGUGAUCGGCCACACUGGGACUGAGACACGGCCCAGACUCCUACGGGAGGCAGCAGUAGGGAAUCUUCGGCAAUGGACGGAAGUCUGACCGAGCAACGCCGCGUGAGUGAAGAAGGGUUUCGGAUCGUAAAGCUCUGUUGUAAGAGAAGAACGAGUGUGAGAGUGGAAAGUUCACACUGUGACGGUAUCUUACCAGAAAGGGACGGCUAACUACGUG
rnacentral:rRNA from 1 species